rnacentral:lncRNA from 1 species
CAUCCCUUAUCCUAUGAUUAUGAAAAUUUAUGGAGUGCUUCCUAACAUGUAUAGCUUUGAUUUGGCUUUGGUCCCACUCAUUUCUAAUUUAAUCUCACUGUUUUACAUUUGAUUGAAGUUAGUGUACAUGUUGUGACCUAGUUUAGGUUGCGUUUUUGCAUGCUUUAACAUGUUGAUUUAAUUGACAUAGCUCCACUAGUCCAAAUGGCAUGAAAAUUGAUAUGUAGCUCAUUGAAUGCCCUAUGUUUAGGACAUAAUUUUUGUGGAAUUUACU